GCCUGGGUGGCUCAGUUGGUUGAGCGUCUGACUUCAGCUCAGGUCAUGGUCUUGCAAUUCGUGAGUUCAAGCCCCGUGCUGGGCU
rnacentral:tRNA from 1 species